rnacentral:rRNA from 1 species
ACCCGCUGAACUUAAGCAUAUCAAUAAGCGGAGGAAAAGAAACCAACAGGGAUUGCCCUAGUAACGGCGAGUGAAGCGGCAACAGCUCAAAUUUGAAAUCUGGCGUCUUUGGCGUCCGAGUUGUAAUUUGCAGAGGGCGCUUUGGCAUUGGCAGCGGUCCAAGUUCCUUGGAACAGGACGUCACAGAGGGUGAGAAUCCCGUACGUGGUCGCUAGCCUUUACCGUGUAAAGCCCCUUCGACGAGUCGAGUUGUUUGGGAAUGCAGCUCUAAAUGGGAGGUAAAUUUCUUCUAAAGCUAAAUACUGGCCAGAGACCGAUAGCGCACAAGUAGAGUGAUCGAAAGAUGAAAAGCACUUUGGAAAGAGAGUUAAAAAGCACGUGAAAUUGUUGAAAGGGAAGCGCUUGCAGCCAGACUUGCCUGUAGUUGCUCAUCCGGGUUUUUACCCGGUGCACUCUUCUAUAGGCAGGCCAGCAUCAGUUUGGGCGGUUGGAUAAAGGUCUCUGUCAUGUACCUCUCUUCGGGGAGAACUUAUAGGGGAGACGACAUGCAACCAGCCCGGACUGAGGUCCGCGCAUCUGCAAGGAUGCUGGCGUAAUGGCUGU